UGAUAUGUUGUUUUGAAUGUCACU
rnacentral:miRNA from 1 species